ACUUAAGUAGUUUAAAAAAAAUUUUGAUUUGUGGUAUCAAAGAUAUAGGAUUUAUUUUAAGUU
rnacentral:tRNA from 1 species